UUUUACAAAAAUCUUCUCCUCUGAAACCACUCGGCCAAAUUUAAUCAAACUUGGCCACAAUCAUCAUUAGGGUGUCUAGUUUAAAAAAUGUGUCCGAUGACCCCGCCAACCAACCAAGAUGGCCGCCAUGGCUAAAAAUAGAACAUAGGGGUAAAAUGUAGAUUUUGGCUUAUAUCUCUGAAACCAAAGCAUUUAGAGUAAAUCUGACAAAGGGUAAAACUGAUUAUCAGGUCAAGAUCUAUCUGCCCUGAAAUUUUCAGAUGAAUCGGACAACCUGUUGUUGAGUUGCUGCCCCUGAAUUGGUAAUUUUAAGGAAAUUUUUGCCGUUUUUGGUUAUUAUCUUGAAUAUUAUUAUAGAUAGAGAUAAAA